rnacentral:tRNA from 4 species
GCCCGUUGGUCAAGUGGUUAAGACACCGCCCUUUCACGGCGGUAACACGGGUUCGAAUCCCGUACGGGUCACCA